UACAGAGGAUGCAAGCGUUAUCCGGAAUGAUUGGGCGUAAAGCGUCUGUAUGUGGCUUUUUAAGUCCGCCGUCAAAUCCCAGGGCUCAACUCUGGACAGGCGGUGGAGACUACCAAGCUGGAGUACGGUAGGGGCAGAGGGAAUUUCCGGUGGAGCGGUGAAAUGCGUAGAUAUCGUUUGGAACGCCAAUGGUGAAAACAGCUUGCUGGGAGUGUGCUGACGCUGAGACACGAAAGCCAGGGGAGCAAACGGG
rnacentral:rRNA from 1 species